rnacentral:rRNA from 1 species
AGCCAAUAGAUACCCUGGUAGUCCACGCCCUAAACGAUGUCUACUAGUUGUUGGUGGAGUAAAUCCAUGAGUAAACGCAGCUAACGCGUGAAGUAGACCGCCUGGGGAGUACGGUCGCAAGAUUAAACUCAAAGGAAUUGACGGGGGCCCGCACAAGCGGUGGAUUAUGUGGAUUAAUUCGAUGCAACGCGAAAACCUUACCUGGCCUUGACAUGCCACUAACGAAGCAGAGAUGCAUUAGGUGCCCGUAAGGGAAAGUGGACACAGGUGCUGCAUGGCUGUCGUCAGCUCGUGUCGUGAGAUGUUGGGUUAAGUCCCGCAACGAGCGCAACCCUUGCCAUUAAUUGCCAUCAUUUAGUUGGGCACUUUAAU